rnacentral:tRNA from 1 species
GGUUCAGUGGUAGAAUACUUGUCUGCCAUACAGGAGACCUGGGUUUGAUUCCUGG